AUGAAUAUACUAUGUCUAAACUGUCGGGGUUGCGGGCGGCCCGAGACAGUGAAUGAAAUAAACAACUUGGUGAAGUUGUAUCACCCGUGCUUAGUCUUUCUCUCGGAGACUAAGUUGUCUGCUACGAGAGCUCAAGACUUGCGGUUGAGGCUUGGUUUCUCGAACGCCUUUGGUGUUAAAAGUGAGGGACUGAGCGGUGGCUUGGCGCUGUUUUGGAAUAGUGACUCGGUGGUAAGCUUAAAAUCAUAUAACAACUCUCAUAUUGAUGUUUUGAUUCAGAAUGAGAACUUGGGAGAUAAGGAGUGGAGGUUUACUGGCUUCUAUGGGGAGCCGGCUAGAGCUAAGAGGAAAAAUAGUUGGGAACUUAUGAAAUAUUUGAGGGAACAGUAUGAGAACCCAUGGUUAUGUGCUGGAGAUUUUAAUGAAAUCCUCGAGGCAACGGAGCAAUUUGGUGGCCUAAUACGUGAUGAAUGGAGAAUGGAUGGCUUCAGGAAGCUGUGGAUGAGUGUCGUUUUGAUGACCUGGGAUAUAUGGGCUUGCCAUAUACGUGGGAUAACAGGCAACAAGAUAAUGACAACAUUAAAGUUAGGCUGGAUAGAGGACUUGGUGAUGAUAAAUUUCAGGAACUUUUCGGUAACACAACUGUACAACAUGUUCAAACCACAGAAUCAGACCAUUGUGCUUUGA
rnacentral:rRNA from 1 species